rnacentral:misc_RNA from 1 species
GUAGGUGAACCUGCGGAAGGAUCAUUAAUAAGUCGUCCCACCGCCUCCGGGCGAGGAUAGAUUCCACGUGUGUUACAGUAGCGGGCCUCGCCCCGCCGCUGGCACUAUGAAAGCGCCCGCUCUGCGAGGGUUAUUAAGUAGUGUUGCGGUGGCGGAUAGUAAUAUCUGCCUUUGGGAUGGAUCACUUAAACCCGUGUAUACCUUCUCUGUUGCUUUGGCGGGCCGCCUUCUAGGCGUCGGCUCUGGCUGACCGUGCCCGCCAGAGGACCCAAACUCUUUUGUUUUAGUGACGUCUGAGUACUAUAUAAUAGUUAAAACUUUCAACAACGGAUCUCUUGGUUCUG